UACGUAGGGGGCGAGCGUUGUCCGGAAUCAUUGGGCGUAAAGAGCGUGUAGGCGGCUUGGCAAGUCUGACGUGAAAGCCCGCGGCUCAACCGCGGAUUGUCGUUGGAAACUGCCUCGCUAGAGUCCGGAAGAGGAGAGCGGAAUUCCUGGUGUAGCGGUGGAAUGCGCAGAUAUCAGGAAGAACACCCGUGGCGAAGGCGGCUCUCUGGGACGGUACUGACACUGAUGAACGAAAGCCAGGGGAGCAAACGGG
rnacentral:rRNA from 1 species